GACGAACGCUGGCGGCGUGCCUAAUACAUGCAAGUAGAACGCUGAAGAGAGGAGCUUGCUCUUCUUGGAUGAGUUGCGAACGGGUGAGUAACGCGUAGGUAACCCGCCUUGUAGCGGGGGAUAACUAUUGGAAACGAUAGCUAAUACCGCAUAACAAUGGAUGACACAUGUCAUUUAUUUGAAAGGGGCAAUUGCUCCACUACAAGAUGGACCUGCGUUGUAUUAGCUAGUAGGUGAGGUAACGGCUCACCUAGGCGACGAUACAUAGCCGACCUGAGAGGGUGAUCGGCCACACUGGGACUGAGACACGGCCCAGACUCCUACGGGAGGCAGCAGUAGGGAAUCUUCGGCAAUGGGGGCAACCCUGACCGAGCAACGCCGCGUGAGUGAAGAAGGUUUUCGGAUCGUAAAGCUCUGUUGUAAGUCAAGAACGAGUGUGAGAGUGGAAAGUUCACACUGUGACGGUAGCUUACCAGAAAGGGACGGCUAACUACGUGCCAGCAGCCGCGGUAAUACGUAGGUCCCGAGCGUUGUCCGGAUUUAUUGGGCGUAAAGCGAGCGCAGGCGGUUUGAUAAGUCUGAAGUUAAAGGCUCUGGCUCAACCACAGUUCGCUUUGGAAACUGUCAAACUUGAGUGCGGAAGGGGAGAGUGGAAUUCCAUGUGUAGCGGUGAAAUGCGUAGAUAUAUGGAGGAACACCGGUGGCGAAAGCGGCUCUCUGGUCUGUAACUGACGCUGAGGCUCGAAAGCGUGGGGAGCGAACAGGAUUAGAUACCCUGGUAGUCCACGCCGUAAACGAUGAGUGCUAGGUGUUGGAUCCUUUCCGGGAUUCAGUGCCGCAGCUAACGCAUUAAGCACUCCGCCUGGGGAGUACGACCGCAAGGUUGAAACUCAAAGGAAUUGACGGGGGCCCGCACAAGCGGUGGAGCAUGUGGUUUAAUUCGAAGCAACGCGAAGAACCUUACCAGGUCUUGACAUCCCGAUGCUAUUUCUAGAGAUAGAAAGUUACUUCGGUACAUCGGUGACAGGUGGUGCAUGGUUGUCGUCAGCUCGUGUCGUGAGAUGUUGGGUUAAGUCCCGCAACGAGCGCAACCCCUAUUGUUAGUUGCCAUCAUUCAGUUGGGCACUCUAGCGAGACUGCCGGUAAUAAACCGGAGGAAGGUGGGGAUGACGUCAAAUCAUCAUGCCCCUUAUGACCUGGGCUACACACGUGCUACAAUGGUUGGUACAACGAGUUGCGAGUCGGUGACGGCAAGCUAAUCUCUUAAAGCCAAUCUCAGUUCGGAUUGUAGGCUGCAACUCGCCUACAUGAAGUCGGAAUCGCUAGUAAUCGCGGAUCAGCACGCCGCGGUGAAUACGUUCCCGGGCCU
rnacentral:rRNA from 1 species